UUAAUCAUUACAGCAGGAUCCCCAUUCUGUGGAAGCAGAAAAGAAGCAUUGUUCCUGAUUGCAGCUCUAAUGAUCCAAAGGGUGCAAUCUCAUAAUUAGAAUCAAGGCUCUUUGGAAUUGCUAAGAGGCAGUCUUGUUUCCUGUGCUAUUCAGACUUCAAGCAAAUUAUUUUUGCAUCAAUCCAGAACCUGUUCUGUUCUCUCUCUCACAGGAAGACAUUCAACAAUAAAACAUCAGCACCAAGUUACCUUCAGGAAGAUUUUCCUCUUAAGUGAAAGAACUUCCUGAAUGAGUUUCCACUUGAAUGGAAGCAGCAUCGGAUGGAAGACUAGAAACUGUGUGUAUCCAUGUGGAUGUCUGCCCCCUGGUCAGAAGGGGAAGGGUAUUUACCCUGCUUAAACUCAGAUGGGGCACCAGGUGCCCACUGAGCUGUGCUGUCACUCCUCUCCUCAGCUGGACAGGGAAGAGAAAAUGCAACAAAAGGCU